rnacentral:rRNA from 1 species
GACAGAGGUUGCAAACGUUGUUCGGAAUCACUGGGCAUAAAGCGCACGUAGGCGGUCUGUUAAGUCAAGUGUGAAAGCCCCCGGCUCAACCGGGGAACAGCAUUUGAUACUGGCAGACUCGAGAAUGGUAGGGGUGAGUGGAACUCCAGGUGGAGCGGUGAAAUGCGUAGAUAUCUGGAGGAACACCGGUGGCGAAGGCGGGUCUCUGGGCAAUUCCUGACGCUGAGGCGCGAAAGCGUGGGGAGCAAACGGG